rnacentral:misc_RNA from 1 species
AUUCUCGCAGAAAAGGUAAAAAUUUGUACGCCCUUAGUUUAAUUCAAUAUUCAUAUUUGGUAUGAAAUAUAGGGUGCUUAAAAACCGGGAAUCAAAUCCACCUUAUUGCAAUCAAUGACGAUUUAACGUUAUGGACACAUUCUACUUCAUGGUGGCAGUUGUUUGUGGUUUUCUUAAGAACCAGAAAAUGGGUAUCGUGAUAGCCUAGCAUUCUAUUAUGUUCGGGAGAUUGGAGAAGAAAUCUAUGUUAUUUACGUAGACGGAUUUUCAGACUGACUGUUAUGCGCCUAAGAUGGAAUCUUUAUACCUUGUUUAUCUAUUCUUUUUUCUUCAAACUUGUUAACACCUUUGAUUAUUUCAAACAGCUGAAAAGCUAUUUAAAGUUCUGACCUUUUGGUAAUAACUGAUAUAAUGCUUAAUGUCAUAAGCGUAUUUUCUUUUUCAAUGAUGCUUUUGAAUUAUGAUAAGGAGUUUUAUUGAAAAAUUGGUGCUAGAUGAUUGCCUGCACUUUGAAUUGUUAUCUAUAGAAGAUAAAAUUGAUGGGAAAGGCUCUUCUUUUAUGUUGAAUCAAGCUAAAAGAAAUUAAAAUUGCGAUUUAGUGUUGGAAAUAAGAAACUCUUCUUUUUCCUGUUAUUGAUAUGAAAUUUCCCCCUCUUUUUGUGUGUUAGGUUUCAUAUAUUUUCAGGAAGCCUGAAGUUUCAGAUAUAGUGAUAUUUAAGGCACCUCCAAUCUUGCAGGUAUCUUAUGGAAUGAACUUUUCAGGUGAACAUGACUGUUUCCAAUACUUCAGUUACUGAUAGUUUCCUUGUGUUCUGUGCAAUGUGUAGGAAAUUGGUUAUAGUUCUGGUGAUGCAUUUAUAAAAAGAAUUGUGGCAACUGCUGGAGACAUUGUUGAAGUAUGGUUCUAUAUUCUUUUAAUGAUUCUACUUAUUCUUUGUUGGCACUUGUUAUUUAUGUGAUUCCUUUAUGUCUGCAAUUGACACGUUCUAGGUAAGAAAAGAAGAUUGACAUUCUUCAUGAACGAUUGUCAUUAUGCGUGGGCAUUGUAUUUUGCAGGUUCGUGAGGGCAAGUUAUAUGUAAAUGGAGUUGUUCAAGAUGAGGAUUUCAUUCUAGAGCCACUUGCUUAUGAGAUGGAACCAGUGCUUGUACCAGAAGGUUAUGUCUUUGUGAUGGGAGACAAUCGCAAUAACAGUUUUGAUUCCCACAACUGGGGUCCGCUUCCUGUUGAAAACAUUGUUGGUAGGUCGGUGUUUCGCUAUUGGCCUCCCUCCAAAGUAUCCAACACCAUAUAUGAUCCUAAUGCUGAAAAGAACACUGCUGCAAUAUCUUGACGCAAUUGCCCUCUGCUUGCAGAGGGAGGAUGCCGGAUAAUUUAUUCAUUCUGAUGGUGAUUUGAUAAAGGAUUUUGCAAUAUGUAUCUCUUUACUGAAAUCAUCUUUUCAAAAUCUUGCAAACAAAAAUU